rnacentral:rRNA from 1 species
UACGAAGGGGGCUAGCGUUGCUCGGAAUCACUGGGCGUAAAGGGUGCGUAGGCGGGUCUUUUAAGUCAGGGGUGAAAUCCUGGAGCUCAACUCCAGAACUGCCUUUGAUACUGGGGAUCUCGAGUCCGGGAGAGGUGAGUGGAACUCCGAGUGUAGAGGUGAAAUUCGUAGAUAUUCGCAAGAACACCAGUGGCGAAGGCGGCUCACUGGCCCGAUACUGACGCUGAGGCACGAAAGCGUGGGGAGCAAACAGGG